UUUAGGGACCCCCACCUGUAGUCCCAGCUACUCAGGAAGGCUGAGGCAGAAGCAUCACCUGAGGCCAGGAGCUCUGGGCUGUAAGUGCGGUUGGCCCAUGGGGAGUCUGCCCUAAGUUCAGCAUCAUUAUGGUGACCUCACUGGAGCAGGGACCACAGGCUGCCUAAGGAGGGGUGAACCAGCCCAGAUGGGAAAUGCAGCAGGUCAAAACUCUUGUGCUGAUCUCCAGUGGGGCUGCAACUGUGAAUAGGCACUGUGCUCCAGCCUGGGCAACAUAGUGAGACCCUGUCUUUU
rfam:Homo sapiens chromosome 1, GRCh38 reference primary assembly.